rnacentral:rRNA from 1 species
GAUGAACGCUGGCGGCGUGCCUAAUACAUGCAAGUCGAGCGAACAGAUGAGGAGCUUGCUCCUCUGACGUUAGCGGCGGACGGGUGAGUAACACGUGGAUAACCUACCUAUAAGACUGGGAUAACUUCGGGAAACCGGAGCUAAUACCGGAUAAUAUAUUGAACCGCAUGGUUCAAUAGUGAAAGACGGUUUUGCUGUCACUUAUAGAUGGAUCCGCGCCGCAUUAGCUAGUUGGUAAGGUAACGGCUUACCAAGGCAACGAUGCGUAGCCGACCUGAGAGGGUGAUCGGCCACACUGGAACUGAGACACGGUCCAGACUCCUACGGGAGGCAGCAGUAGGGAUUCUUCCGCAAUGGGCGAAAGCUUGACGGAGCAACGCCGCGUGAGUGAUGAAGGUCUUCGGAUCGUAAAACUCUGUUAUUAGGGAAGAACAAAUGUGUAAGUAACUAUGCACGUCUUGACGGUACCUAAUCAGAAAGCCACGGCUAACUACGUG